UUAAAGUGGCAGUAGUUAGAUUUUAUUUAAUGUAAAAAAUUAAGCUUAAAUGUGAGGUAAUUUUAUUGAAUUUAUGUUAAGUGUACAUUCAAAUGUGGAGGGGGAAUUUUUGUUUUGUUCCGCGGACCAUGUGUUGUCCAGGGAAGCAUUGGCUGGCGCACUUAGAGCCACAUGGGCAUUCAAGCUGAAGAAGCUGUAAGAAAUUCAGCUUUAUUCCUCUGGAGUCAAUGCGGCUAAUGAGUUCUGACGGGAUUUUUUGGGGACUUUGCAAGACGUGUCCACAAUAAAUGGCUGUUGAAAAC